AGACCCCACUGGAGCAUUAUUCAGAAAGGGCGAAUCGGUCCCAGCCUCUCUGCUUGGCUUGUGGAUGGCUGUCCCCUCUCUGACUUCUCCUCGUCUUCUCGCCGGGGGUUUCCCAGUGUCCAGACUCCCCCCUUUAUAAGAAUGACAGUCACACUGGGUUAGGGCCCCUCUAAUGGCUUUAACCUGGUUGCCUCUGGGAGGAUGCUGUCUCCGAACCAGUCACACGGGACUGGGGGACUUCGGACUCCGGCAUAUGAAUUUCAGGGCCGGGAGGGGAACACAAGUCAACCCAUAACUACAGGUACGAAAAAGAAAAAAAAAAAAAAACAAUUCUGAGCCCCCAGACUUUAUCAGUGUUGCUCGUGGGUCUGUAUUCUUCCUGGCUUCUUUCUAUGGACAAAAAACCAUAUGGCAAAGAGAGAUUUUUGUGUUUGCAGCAGCCAAAUCAAAUCCUUUUCUUGUUGGGCAAGUGCGUUGUUAAGCCUCGGUGGCUCAUGUCUGGCAUUUGAGGGCCGGCGGGUGGAGGGGCUCAGAGUCUGAGGCUCCGCCCAGGCCAUCAGCCUGACAGUGGCACAGGUAAACCAGAGACACCCCACCAAGCCUCCCCCAGAGAGCGCUUUAGAGUGGGGAGGGAUAUGGGUGUGUGUGUGAUGGGCUGGGAGUGAAUUCACUUUUAAGUCAGGAUAUGACUUUUUAUUUUAUUUUGUAUCGCUCUUUAGGGCUGCACAUGCGGCAUAUGGUAUAUGGUUCCUGGUAUGUGGUGCCCAGGCUAGGGGUCGAAUUGGAGCUGCAGCUGCCGGCCUAUGCCACAGCCACAGCCAUGCGGGAUCCGAGCCUCAUCUUCAGGGAUGGUAGUUGGGUUCGUAACGGCUGAUCCACGAGGGGAACUCGAAGUUGGGGUGUGGCUUAGAUCGCAAGGGCAGGGAAGAAGCAUGUUCUCUGGCACAAGCUCUGCCCCUUGUUGUGUGCGCCCCCAUCCCAGCAUCCUGCCAUCUGUCUGGCCAUCUUCCUGGUCGGCUCGCUGCCCUUCAGGCGGCUCCCAGAUCCCUCCUGGCCUGAAGCACCCUCUCCUUGUUGCGAUGCAGUGUCUGCCACCUGCCCUGCCUCUGGGCAGGUGCUGUGGCUCCCGAGAGAAGACCCUGCAGGGUGGGGUGCACUCUCGGUGCUGGGGGAGGGGGGAGACAAGGCUCCCCAGUCCCGGCUGGAGUGGGGCCGCUGUCUGCUUCCAGGCAGGGGGCUGGCUGGGCUGGGGAGGGCUGCCUGGGCCUGCCUCCAGGGCCCCGCAGCCGUUCCCUUGUCAGAUAGACACGAGGCUGGCUCACUGUGCCUUCCGCCUCCUAGGUGAGCCUGGCAGUCACUGCUCGCCCCCCUGCCAGGCCUCAGUUUCCCUCUCUGGAGAACAUGGGGAGCAUCUCAAAUGGCCCUGGGGGUUGUCGGAUGAAAUAGGUGGCGUGUGGCUCUCCGUGGCACUUGAGACCCUUAGCCAGCCUGGGUCUCCCCCUCCCCCUGCCCUUCCUAGACGCAUCCCAGAGGCCCCAGAGGGCGAAGGCGAGGAGUCUGAGGGCCCCCUUAGGGAGCAGGACCUGAAGGAGGCCUACAUCCCGCUGGUCCGGGGGCUGCAGGAGUGGCAGGACGGCUGCAUCUACCGCGGAGAGUUCGGGCUGGACAUGAAGCUGGGAUACGGGGAGUUCUCUUGGCCGACGGGCGAGUCCUACCACGGGCAGUUCUACCGGGAUCACUGCCACGGCCUGGGCACCUACACGUGGCCGGACGGCUCCAGCUUCACGGGCACCUUUUACCUCAGCUCCCGGGAAGGUUAUGGCAUCGCGCGGCGGCCGGCGAGGCUCUUCCAGGGGCUGUACAAAGCGGACGAGCGGUUCGGGCCGGGCAUCGAGACCUACCCCGACGGCAGCCAGGACGUGGGGCUGUGGUUCCGAGAGCACCUCAUCAAGCUGUGCGUGGAGAUCCCCAGCGGCUUCUCCCUCCGCGGCUACCCCGAGUUCUCGGGCUUUCUCACGCACACACCUGUCAGAAUCAGCCUCUCGGACGAGGAGAAGAUGGAGUGGGCCCCGCGGGAAGGGCAGGACCCGUUCUUCUACGACUACAAGCGGUUUCUGCUGGAUGACAGCCUCACUCUGCCUCCGGAAAUGUACCUCUACUCAACCGACCACAGCCACCUGCCCAUGACCUCCUCCUUCCGCCAAGACCUGAACGCCCGCGUCUUUCUGAAUGACGUCCCCCCGUUUGUGGAGGAUGGCGAGCCCUGGUUUAUCAAAAACGAGACCCCGCUGAUGGUCAGAAUCCAGAGGCAGGCUUACAAGUUCAGGAACAAGAGGGCUCAUGCCAGCUGGAACGUGGACACCAUCCUGGAGGGGAAACGGAGCGGCUUCGCGCGCCGCGGGCCCAAGGAGCGGCUUUCCAAGGAGAUGAUCCUGCAGGCCCAGGAGGGGAAUCACGACUGGAUUUACGGGGUCCUGAAGGACAACCUUGUCAGCCCCGACGUGGCCGACGCCAGGGGCUACACGGUGCUGGCCGCGGCCGCUGUUCACUGUCACGUGGACAUCGUCAACCUCCUGCUGGACAACGGGGCUGACGUGAACAAGCGCACGGACGAGGGGCUCACGGCCCUCAGCAUGUGCUUCCUCCUCUACUACCCGACCGGGGCCUUCGAGCCCGGCGUUGCCGAGAGGACGGUGCCUGAGCCCCAGGAAACUUCAAAACCUGUAACAAUUCCCAGCUGUUCCUCCUCCAUCCCCGAGGCGGCUGAGGAGCCAGCGCGUCUGGAGGAGCUGGCACGGGCCCAAGGCGGCCAGGACCCAAAGCCAGAGGGCAGCCGGGCGUCUUGGGACAGGGACCCCAGGAGCAGCCCCCCAAGGUGGGGCUCCGCUUCCCUCAGGAGCAGCGCCAGCCACUCGGGGAAUUCGCGGAGUGCGGGGCCGGGGCCCUUGGACCGGUGCUCCCUGUGCAGCUGCGAGACGGACUUGGAGUCCAGCGGGUGCGUGCGCAACUCCUGCGCUGAGCUGUCGCAGGACCUGCUGGAGCGGAGCGCCCAGAAGCACAGCCUGCUGAAGGCCCCCGCCGCCCUGGCCGCCACCCCCGCUGACGAGGGCACCGUGAGGAGGAUGGCGCGGUCCAUGGUCCAACGCAGACGCAGGUGGCUGACCAUCAGCCUCCUGCUGCGGCGCGGCGCCGACCCCAACCUGUGCCGCGUGCCCAUGCAGGUGCUGCUCCUCGCGGUGAAGGCCGGGGACGUGGACGGCGUGAAGCUGCUGCUGGAGAGCGGGGCCCGGACCGACAUCCAGUUCCCGCCGCAGCUGGGGGCCCUGACCCCCCUCCACCUCGCGGCCGCCCUUCCUGGGGACGAGGGCAUCAAGAUCACAGAGCUGCUGCUCCAUGCCAUCACCGACGUGGACGCCCGGGCGGCCGACCAGGACGACGUGUACAAGCCGGGCAAGCCGGACCUGCUGCCCUCGAGCCUGAAGCUCAGCAGCGAAGCAGGCCCGCCCAGCACCUACUACAGUGGCUGUGCGUCUGUCCCCGACGAGGGUGGCAGGACGGCGCUGCACGUGGCCUGCGAGCGGGAGGACAACCACAGGUGUGCCAGGGACAUAGUCCGGCUCCUCCUGUCGCACAGGGCGAAUCCCAACACCCUGUGGAGUGGCCACUCCCCACUCUCCCUGUCCAUCGCCAGCGGCAACGACCUGAUUGUGAAGGAGCUUCUGUCCUAUGGAGCUGACCCCAACUUACUCCUGACCAAAGGCCUGGGCAGUGCCCUGUGUGUGGCCUGCGACCUCACCUACGAGAGCCGGAGGAGCAUGGACAGCAAGCUGGCCCUGAUCGACCGGCUCAUUAGUCACGGGGCCGACAUCCUGAACCCCGUGACCCUCACGCAGGGGGACAAGGUGGCGGUGGGCACUGCUGUCGACUACGGCUAUUUCAGAUUCUACCAGGACCGGAAGAUCGCCCACUCCCCCUUCCACACGCUGAUGCCGGCAGAGCGGGAGAUGUUUCUGGCCCGGAAGAAGCUGCUGGAAUACAUGGGCGUCCAGCUGCGGCGAGCAGUCUUUGCCAAGGAGUGCCAGUGGGAUCAAAAGGUGCUGACCCUGAGCAAGCGAGCAGCACCAUUCGCAAAAGCCAAAGAAGGGAAACAACGCGGGUCGUGGUGAACGGAUAAGCCAGUGCCCGUGUCUCGUCACGCAGUGGAAUCGUCGUCACCCAUGAAAAGGACAGUGGUGCUGACACGGCCACCACGGGAUGAACCUUGAAAACAUUACCCUGACAAUCCAGCCCCCAGGGACCCCAUGCUCUGAGGUUCUAUUCCUGUGAAAUGUCCAGACAGGAAAAUACAUGGGGACAAAGCAGCUUAGUGUCGCUCCCGGCCGGGGGUAGGGCGCCGGGCGAGACGCUGUGGGCGCUGGGCUCCGCUUCGGGGGGACGGGGAGGCUCUCGCAUUGGCUGUGAGGAGGGUCACGCACGCGAAUGCGCCGAAGGCCGCGGGGCUGUACGCUUUUCUUUUCUUUUGCUUCUUAGGGCCACACCCGUGGCACACGGAGGGUCCCAGGCUAGGGGUCGAAUUGAGCUCAGCUCCCAGCCACACUAGAGCCACGGCAAUGCGGGAUCUGAGCCGAGUCUGCGACCUACACCACAGCUCAGGGCAACACUGGAUCCUUUUUUGCUGUUGUUGCUGAGAAGAGCUUAUUUGAGGCUUGCAUAUGUCCGUUCGCCGUAGAGUUUUAAAGCGGAGCUGGCCCCCUGCCUCCGGAUGAAGCAGAAGGGCACCAGUGUGCCCAAAGGGCUGGAC